UUAAAGUUUGAUUCUUUCUUAAGUCUUUAUAGUUUUUAUUAAAAUUGUAUGAGAAUUGUUGUGUGUAAUUGUUUAUGGGAGUUUGAGAUUUCAUAUAUUAGUUGUUUUAAAGAAUGACAUGUCUAUAAAAGAUAAAGUCUCAGCAUGUAGUAUUAAACAAUAUACUAGUGUGUGAUUUAGUAAUAAUUUAAGAUCUGAUUAAGUAUUGUGCCAGCAUUCGCGGUUAGACUUUAAGAUUAAGUAAAGAUAUAUUGGUUUUUAGUUAAAUAAGUUGUAUAGUUAUGAGUUAAGUUUAGGAGAGUAAAGGGUGAAAUCGGAUUGUUUUUUUUAAAUGGUGGAUCAUUAACUAAAGUUGAAGCUAAAAAUUUCUAGAUUUAAACUAGGAUUAGAUACCCUACUAUACUAGAAUAAAAUUUAUUAAUAGCCUGAUUAUUAUUAGAUAUAAUCUUAAAUAAAAGAAUUUGGCGGUGGUUUAGUCUUGUCAGAGGAACCUGUUUUUUAAUCGAUAAUCCACGUAAGAUCUUACUUGUUUUUGUUUUAGUUUGUAUACCGUCAUUAGCAGAUAAUUUUAAAAGAGAUAAUUAUUAUAGUCGAAUAUUGAGUUGAUAAAAUUAGAUCGAGGUGCAGCUUAUAAGCAAGUUAAAAUGGGUUACAAUAAAGUUUGUUUACAAUGGAAUAAACAGAGAAGUUUGGGUAUGAAGGAGGAUUUGAUUGUAAUGUGGGUUUAAUAUGCCUACAAGAUAUAAGCUCUAAAUCAUGUACAUAUCGCCCGUCGCUUUCAUUAUAUAGAUGAGAUAAGUCGUAACAUAGUAGGUUUACUGGAAAGUGAACCUAGAUUAA
rnacentral:ncRNA from 1 species